rnacentral:rRNA from 1 species
CAGGACGAACGCUGGCGGCGUGCUUAACACAUGCAAGUCGAGCGGUAAGGCCCUUUCGGGGGUACGACGAGCGGCGAACGGGUGAGUAACACGUGGGUGACCUGCCCUCAGCUCUGGGAUAAGCCUGGGAAACCGGGUCUAAUACUGGAUAUGACUCCAUGACGCAUGUUGUGGGGUGGAAAGCCUUGUGCGGCUGAGGAUGGGCCCGCGGCCUAUCAGCUUGUUGGUGGGGUGANGGCCUACCAAGGCGACGACGGGUAGCCGGCCUGAGAGGGCGACCGGCCACACUGGGACUGAGACACGGCCCAGACUCCUACGGGAGGCAGCAGUGGGGAAUCUUGCGCAAUGGGCGAAAGCCUGACGCAGCGACGCCGCGUGAGGGAUGAC